AUUGAACGCUGGCGGCAUGCCUUACACAUGCAAGUCGAACGGUAACGGGCCUUCGGGUGCCGACGAGUGGCGAACGGGUGAGUAAUGCAUCGGAACGUACCUUUCAGUGGGGGAUAACGUAGCGAAAGUUACGCUAAUACCGCAUAUUCUGUGAGCAGGAAAGCAGGGGAUCGCAAGACCUUGCGCUGAUUGAGCGGCCGAUGUCAGAGUAGCUAGUUGGUGAGGUAAAGGCUCACCAAGGCGACGAUCUGUAGCGGGUCUGAGAGGAUGAUUCGCCACACUGGAACUGAGACACGGUCCAGACUCCUACGGGAGGCAGCAGUGGGGAAUUUUGGACAAUGGGGGCAACCCUGAUCCAGCCAUGCCGCGUGAGUGAAGAAGGCCUUCGGGUUGUAAAGCUCUUUCGGUCGGGAAGAAAUCGCAUGGGUUAAUACCCUGUGCGGAUGACGGUACCGGCAUAAGAAGCACCGGCUAACUACGUGCCAGCAGCCGCAGUAACAC
rnacentral:rRNA from 1 species